GGAGUGUGCACAGUGAAGAAUGGAGGAAGGAAGGAGAACAGAGUGCUGUCAGAUCUUGCAUCGGAGACUAUGCAAGAAGAUACAAAACAUAGCGAUUAUCAGAGUAUGGUGCUGACCAAGGAAUGGAGAAACUAAUGGAACAAAACAGAGAAGUCAUACAACCCAGGUGCAUUCGUCUGAGACUUUUUAAACUAGAAAAAAACAUGACAGAUGUCUGUUCAACAGAGAUAAUGACUUGGAGCAUCUCACAGCCUCACUGAACAUGAGAUUCUGGUUCUUACAACUGCUGAGAAAUAUUGUGCCUGAUAAAAUUUAGUAAAUACAAUUCUCUACCUUAUGAAAGGAAUCCAAGGCAACUGUGAAACUAGUGAUUCCAGAGCACCAAGGUUAAUGCAGGUAACCUCUAAUGUUCUAAUGGGUGGAGAAGAUCUGUUGAAUCAAGCAUGUCAGCAUGUAUCUUGCCCCGACUACUCUACUGGACUCCAAUAAAAACAAUGGUCCUCUUGGGUGAUAUUUUGAGGAAAGGCUUGCACUGAUUUUAUGUGAGAGGCCCACUCUUUAAAAAGAAUCAUGUUGCUUGCAUCUAUUAUGUUUAAAAACUAUAGUAAGAGGGAGUGAAACUGAAGAAAAAAAAAUACCUGGCUUCCAAGUUAUUUGUUAGCAUAUAAGCUGAAUUGUGUGCAUAUUUUUUGUGCUAUCUUGCUGCUUCUUUUGUAUCAGUCUUCCCCUACCCCCAACAUCAACUCACAGGUCAUGACUGCUCCAUAAAAGAAACUAACAAACAAAAAGACUCACAAUCUGUCCUUCCUGCUCUCCCUUCCACUCUUUUCUGCUGUUGUUCUUCAUCUCUGAUUUUAUAAUCUACAAAUGUACAUUGCUAAUAAAUUCAU